CAUUCCCACUGUCUACUCAGUAGGGGAAGCUCCCUCCAAAGGUGCCUUCAAGCUUCUUCGCCCUCAUUUUCCUAUCGAAGUGUCCCUCCUAAAAAAGGUGUUUCAAUUUUGCUUCAUCGGAACAUAGGCAAUUCAGCAAACAGAAAUCUGUGAUAUCUAGACCAUGAAUUCCAGGAGAGAUGUCCGCAACAAUAGAGCUGCUCUUUUUGAUGGAAUUGAAGAGGGUGGCAUCAGGGCCUCAUCUUCUUAUUCCCAUGAAAUUGAUGAGCAAGAUAAUGAAAGAGCUGUGGAAGGAUUGCAAGAUCGAGUCAAUCUUCUGAAGAGAUUGUCGGGUGAUAUACAUGAGGAGGUGGAGACUCAUAAUCACAUGCUGGACAGAAUGGGCAAUGACAUGGAUUCAUCCAGGGGUGUCCUAUCAGGAACUAUGGAUCGAUUUAAGAUGGUUUUUGA
rnacentral:misc_RNA from 1 species